rnacentral:rRNA from 1 species
GACGAACGCUGGCGGCGUGCUUAACACAUGCAAGUCGAACGGAAAGGCCCUGCUUUUGUGGGGUGCUCGAGUGGCGAACGGGUGAGUAACACGUGAGUAACCUGCCCUUGACUUUGGGAUAACUUCAAGAAACUGGGGCUAAUACCGGAUAGGAGCUCCUGCUGCAUGGUGGGGUUUGGAUAGUUUCGGCGGUUGGGGAUGGACUCGCGGCUUAUCAGCUUGUUGGUGGGGUAGUGGCUUACCAAGGCUUUGACGGGUAGCCGGCCUGAGAGGGUGACCGGCCACAUUGGGACUGAGAUAAGGCCCAGACUCCUACGGGAGGCAGCAGUGGGGAAUAUUGCACAAUGGGCGGAAGCCUGAUGCAGCAACGCCGCGUGCGGGAUGACGGCCUUCGGGUUGUAAACCGCUUUCGCCUGUGACGAAGCGUGAGUGACGGUAAUGGGUAAAGAAGCACCGGCUAACUACGUG